UAUAUCAUCUGUAUUUUUAAAAAAAUCAUCAAAAUAAUUUUAAAAGAAGUGAAAAUCAUGUAUAGUCAGAACAAACACGGCUGGCCGCAGUGGCUCACACCUGUAAUCCCAGCACUUUGGGAGGCCAAGGCAGGUGGAUCACCUGAGGUCAGGAGUUUGAGACCAGCCUGGCCAACAUGGUGAAACCCUGUCUCUACUAAAAAUACAAAAAUUAAUUGGGCAUGGUGGUGCACACCUGUAAUUUCAGGUACUUGGGAGGCUGCGGCAGGAGAAUUGCUUGAACCUGGGAGGCAGUGGUUGCAGUGAGCCGAGAUUGUGCCACUGCACUCCACCCUCAGCAACAGAGCAAAACUCUGUCUCAAAAAAAAAAAAAAAAACAAAAAACCUCAUAUACACAUACAUCCAUAUUUAUCUCCAUUGUAGGGGAAGAAAAAGAAUGGGACUAUCGGCCGGGCAUGGUGGCUCACGCCUGUAAUCCCAGCACUUUGGGAGGCCGAGGUGGGCGGAUCACCUGAGGUCGGGAGUUCGAGACCAGCCUGACCAACAUGGUGAAACCUCGUCUCCACUAAAAAUACAAAAUUAGCCAGGUGUGAUGGUGCGUGCCUGUAAUCCCAGCUACUCGGGAGGCUGAGGCAGGAGAAUCACUUGAACCCGGGAGGCAGAGCUGGUGGUGAGCCAAGAUUCCACCAUUGCACGCCAGCCUGGGCAACAGAGCAAAACUCUGUCUCCAAAAAAUAAAAUAAAAUAAAAAGAAUGGGACUAUACACUAUGAAUUCUUUGUGAGGUUUUUUUGGUGAAUAUUUAUGGAGUGCUUGCUGUGUAGCAGGUGUUGCUCUAAGCAGUUUUCUUAUAUCAAACACACUUAAUUCUCCCCAGCAACCUAUGAGAUAGGUAAUAUUCCCAUUUUACAGAUGAACAACAGAGAGGUUAAGUAACUUGCCAAGGUCACACAGCUCGUGAAUAGCAAAGCUGGGCUAGAACCCAGGUAAUGUGGCUCCAGAACCCCUGCUUUUGGCCGUUCUGCUAUUCUAUGAGGUAGUCAUUAUGAUCCCCCUCAUCAGAAAGCAGAAAGCAUGAGAUUCAGAGGGGUGCAAUUACUUGUCCAAGGUCACACAGCUCAUCAGGGAAGGAGCUGGUCCCCAGGCCCAGAUGUGUGGGUCACACACCCAGACUCCAGGCCACCUCCCAGAUCUGAGGCUGCUCCUCUGGAGUCAAGUCUGUGCCUGGGAGAAGCAGGAAGGACCACUGGACCUGCUGUCAGUGGGGCAGGCACAGGCUUUUUCCAGUCCCAGGCUGCCCCCUACUGGCAGUAGGACAAACAGCAGGUGCCUGGGCCCAGCUAGGAUGGGAAGGGUGAGGAUGGGCCUAAGCAGGCUGACACAGGGCUGAGUCCUCCUCUCCCCGCUCCAGUUCUCCGUGGACAUUGACUCGGAGCUGGUGGAGGAGCUGCCGGCCGAGAUCGAGCUGUGGCUGGUGCUGGUGGCCGUGGGUGCAGGGCUGCUGCUGCUGGGGCUGAUCAUCCUCCUGCUGUGGAAGUGCGGCUUCUUCAAGCGAGCCCGCACUCGCGCCCUGUAUGAAGCUAAGAGGCAGAAGGCGGAGAUGAAGAGCCAGCCGUCAGAGACAGAGAGGCUGACCGACGACUACUGAGGGGGCAGCCCCCCACCCCCGGCCCACCUGGUGUGACUUCUUUAAGCGGACCCGCUAUUAUCAGAUCAUGCCCAAGUACCACGCGGUGCGGAUCCGGGAGGAGGAGCGCUACCCACCUCCAGGGAGCACCCUGCCCACCAAGAAGCACUGGGUGACCAGCUGGCAGACUCGGGACCGAUACUACUGACGUCCUCCCUGAUCCCACCCCCUCCUCCCCCAGUGUCCCCUUUCUUCCUAUUUAUCAUAAGUUAUGCCUCUGACAGUCCACAGGGGCCACCGCCUUUGGCUGGCAGCAGCAGGCUCAGGCACAUACACCUCGUCAAGAGCAUGCACAUGCUGUCUGGCCCUGGGGAUCUUCCCACAGGAGGGCCAGCGCUGUGGACCUUACAACGCCGAGCGCACCGCGGUCCUGUGCCCUAGACGCACGUGGGGCCCACUGCUCGUGGACUGUGCUGGUGCAUCACGGAUGGUGCAUGGGCUCGCCGUGUCUCAGCCUCUGCCAGCGCCAAAACAAGCCAAAGAGCCUCCCACCAGAGCCGAGAGGAAAAGGCCCCCGCAAUGUGGUGACACCUCCCCGUUUCACACUGGAUCCAUCUUCAGCCACAGUCACUGGAUUGACUUUGCUGUCAAAACUACUGACAAGGAGCAGCCCCCUGGGCCCCUGGCUGGUGGGCCCCCAGUGACACCCAUGCCAGAGAGCUGGGGGUCCUGCCUAAGGUUGUCCAUGGGGGCACUUGGAGGACCUGGCGUGCUCAGAUCCAACAGCAAAGGAACUAGAAAGAAGGUCCCAGAAAGGCUUUCUUUCCUGCGUCUCUGUGAAGCCUCUCUCCUUGGCCACAGACUGAACUCACAGGGAGUGCAGCGGGAAGGAACAAAGACAGGCAAACGGCAAGGUAGCCUGGGCUCACUGUGCUGGGGCACGGUGGGAUCCUCCACAGAGAGGAGGGGACCAAUUCUGGACAGACAGAUGCUGGGAGGAUACAGAGGAGAUGCCACUUCUGACUCACCACUACCAGCCAGCCUCAGAAGGCCCCAGAGAGACCCUACAAGACCACGGAGGGAGCGACACUUGAAUGUAGAACAGGCAGGGGGCCCUGCCCCGCCCCAUCCAGCCAGACCCCACGCUGACCAUGCGUCAGGGGCCUAGACGUGGAGUUCUUAGCUAUCCUUGGCUUUCAGAGCCAGCCUGGCUCUGCCCCCUCCCCCAUGGGCUGUGUCCUAAGGCCCAUUUGAGAAGCUGAGGCUAGUUCCAGAAAACCUCUGCUGACCCCUGCCUGUUGGCAGGCCCACUCCCCAGCCCCAGCCCCUUCCAUGGUACUGUAGCAGGGGAAUGCCCCCUCCCCCUCCUCGUGCCUUCUUUGUAUAUAGGCUUCUCACGGCGACCAAUAAACAGCUCCCAGUUUGUA
rnacentral:sRNA from 1 species